rnacentral:tRNA from 1 species
AAGGAUUAUAUUUAAUUAUAAUAAUUGAUUUGCAAUCAAUAAGUACUGAAUUUCAGUUGAUCUUA